rnacentral:rRNA from 1 species
UACGUAGGUGGCAAGCGUUACUCGGAAUCACUAGGCGUAAAGCGCAGGUAGGCGGUUUGAUAAGUCUGUUGUGAAAGCUCCCGGCUUAACUGGGAGAGGCCAACGGAAACUGUCAGGCUUGAGUGUGGUAGAGGUAGCUGGAAUUCCCGGUGUAGCGGUGAAAUGCGUAGAUAUCGGGAGGAAUACCUAUGGCGAAAGCAGGCUACUGGACCAUCACUGACGCUGAUCUGCGAAAGCUAGGGGAGCAAACAGG